AUCUCUGCGCAGUGGCAGUAUCGUAGCCUAUGAGGUUUAUCCGAGGCGCGAUUAUUGCUAGUUGAAAACUUUACCCAAUACCCGCCUUUGACGACUUUGAAAUAUAGUCGGCAAUGGCAAUUUUUGGUGGUCUCCAAGGAGA